UUUCCGUAGGUGAACCUGCGGAAGGAUCAUUAAUGUAUAAUCGAAGUGAGAGGCCUGUCUCUGACCCUAAAGCUCGUGCACUCCCGAGUGUCAUCACACACAUUCAUCUAACCCCUAUUUGGACUACUGCCUGGGUCCCCCUUGAGCUUGUUUGGAGAGGGUUAUACUCUUUUGCUAAAUCUUGAUAUUAAGAGAAGAAUGUAUUUAUUCUUUUUGCGAACACUCUAUGUAUUCAACUUUCAACAACAAAUCUCUUGAAUCUAGCAUCGAUGAAGAAAG
rnacentral:misc_RNA from 1 species